GAGAAACAGCAUGAUUUUAUCUGCUCAUUAUUCCCUUAGCUCUUAUGUUAGCAGACUGGUUUUCAGCUUGUUUGCUCUGAAUCAAGUAAACAUAAUGUCAAUGGAGUAAUUGUGGGAUUCAGAUAAAAGAAGAACAAGUGAAUUGGCAAACACUAAAAUCACUAAAUAAUAUUUGAAGCUAAUGAAAAUGAGGAAUCAGUCUGCAACUGGGAAAUCUAAGAAUAGUAUCAAUUUUUUCUUGCAGACUUUAGCACUAAUUUCUCUCCUCUUCAACUUCAAGAUGUCAUGUAAAAUGUCAUUUGUGCAUGUUUUGCUAAACGAACAAGGCAAUUGGCAUCCCUUACUGUCCUGGUGGAAAGGAACGCAAAAUUCCCCAUCAUAAAUGGAGUAAUCAGGACCCCUGUAGGCCCAACUGCAUCUGGACUCGGAGAGAUUGACUCUGCUGCCUAGAGAAAGACCUGAGACAGAGGGUGAGAAGAAUUCAGAUUAUAACUGCAGCAGGACUCGGAGGCAGAAAUAUGAAGACCUGGCACAGGACACCAACAGUGUCUGCUACAGUCAUUCCUGAAAUAGUCUGAUGUUAAAGUGAAUGUGUUAAAGUGAAUCUCAUUACUUUUGAGAUUGGACAUGUACUUGGAAAAUAGAGAGACAAAGAGUAAUGGAAAAUUUUAUAUCAGAUCUCAUAGAAAACAGAUGACAUACUUUUCUCCUUAUCAAUUAAAGUUCAGCACACAUCUCUCCAAAACAAUGUGUAGUUCCCAAGAGAUUCAAUUUCCAGGUUGAAUGAUAAAUAGAAUUAUUCAUAAGCAAAGAAUGAAAAUGAAUGAAAAAUUGUUAUAUAUGGAUAUAAACAUGUUUCAUCUCUGUCUUUAAUUAGAACUUCUAAUAUCACCACUAUAAAUGAAUAAUACUUCAUGACUAAAUUACCUUUAACAUAUACUUCAGGAGAGCAAUAUCUUUUGGAUGGUAGACUAAAAUAAAUAUAAGUGUGCUUCAAGAGAAAUGCAAGGACUUCUUACAUGUUUUAUGGUGCUACACGUUAAAGGUAAGAUAAAUCAUAUAAUGUUAAAUUUGAAAUAUGUACAGAAAUCAAGUUUGUAUAGUUUCAAGUGAAAUUAAAAUUGUAGUAACUUGUCCUUCUGUUUAAAAUAUUCUAUUUUUUAUGGCCUUAAAAGUCUUUAAAGCACCAAUAAUAUUUCCAAAAUAUUUAUAACACAUUUUAAUAUUUUAUUUGCAUUAAGGUCAGGACAAAACAACGAGUGAUUUUUGUGGGGCAAGUCAUUUAUUAGUAGUUACACUUUUUCUAAAGCAGUAUUAACUAUACCAGUCAUGUAUUUCUUAUUGAAUUCAGUUGUUACUGAUUUUAGGAAUUAAUACUACCUCCAACCAGAAAAUUGCUUAAGCACACCUCCUAAAACAAUCUAACUUGAAGUAACUUAAGAAAAGCAAUUUUAAAUACCAGAGGAAAACUAUUAAGAAGAGAGUUAGUAUUUAGAAAUGUGACAAAAUUUUUAAUAAAAAGACUUGAAAUAAGAUUAAUUUUAUGAAUCUUUCCUAUUAAACCACAAAUGCUUCACACAGAGAUUACAGUGCUAGAAAUAAGAUGACUCAGCUAGUUCUCAAUAUAAAGUUAUAUCUGUACAGGUAUAUAUGAAUAAUUAUAUAUAAUAUAAUUCAUAUAUAAUUUCAAAAUGUAAAUCAAUUUUAUUAAGCUACAAUCUGCAUUCAAUAAAAUGCAACCAUUUUGAAAGCACAGUCUGACAAGUUUUGACAAAUGUAUCCCUGGGACCACUACCAGAGUUAAGACAUAGAACAUCUCAUCACCUCAAAAAAGUUACCCUAUAUACUUAAGCAGUCAGCCCCCUACCACUACGAAAGUCCUGGAUCCAGGAAACCACUGUUAUGUCUUUUGUCAGUGUAGAUUAUUUUUGCAAAUAUCUGCAAUUGCAAAUACUAGGUUGGUGCAAAAGUAACUGUGGUUUUUUAUUAAAAAUAGUGACAAAGACUGCAAUAACUUUUGCACCAACCUAGUAAAUAAAAUUAUAUGUAUUGUAAUCUUUCUUGCCUGGCCUCUUUUGCUCAGCAUAAUGUCUUUGAGAUUUAUCUAUGUUGUUGUAUUUAUUUGUAGUUUGUUUCAGUUUAUUUCAAGCAAGAAUUCCAUAUUACAAAUAUAACCAGUGAUGUGAUAAGUGCUUUAAAACCAGCUUUCUGUUGGCGGGGGAAGUGAGGAUCCUUGAUGUGUAACUUGUCAGUUUAUAUGGUGUAACUCUUCCUACCAAUGACAGAUACAAACUACCAACAUGAUAUAACCAGCUGGCAAAAUUUUUGAAAAUUUAACAAUAGGCUCUGGAGGGUGAUAAUAAGCUAGCUCCAGAACAUCAUUACAUGUAAAUCAAUUUAUCUUUCAGUGGUUUAUCAAUGUUGUUUCCAGUUUUUGGCUAUUGAAAAGAAAGUUGAUAUGAUACCUUGGACCAACAUGUGUUUCUUCCCUUAAGGUAAUACCUUGGAGUGGAACUGCUAGUUCAUAUGGUAAGUCCAUGUUCAACUUUAUAAGAAAACAUUAAGUUAUUUUCCAAAGAAGUUUUACCAGUUUACAAUUGGAUCACACUCAGAUUCAGCAAAUCACAGGUAGCCUCUACAGCUAUAACAGGAGCUCUUUAUGGGAGAGGCAUAGAGAUGAAGUUUUUCAUUGAAGGUAACUGAGAGACACGGAAGGUAAUAACAUGAGAGAGGAAUGAUUACAUUUGGACAUUUGAGCAAUAAAUGUGUUGACAAUGUGGAAAAUAGAUGGGAGGGUAUGAAAUCACUGAAAGAUCAAUUAGGAUGAUAUUUCACUAAAGAAAUAAUGAGGGUCUGAAGUAAGGCAGUAGCAUUCUGAUGAAACUGAAAAAUAUUUAGGUUAUAAAAUUGACUGUAGUUUUGACUAAGUAAGUGCAGAUAACGAAGAACAAUGAGAAAUCAAAGAUAACUAAAGAUUUCUUGCUUGCAAAAUGGGAUAGUCAACGGUAGAAACUGAGACUAUAUGAAGACGGGUGGGCCUUUCUCUCUCCUUCUCUUCAUUUUUGAACAGAAGGGAGGGGAAAAGUGACCAAGAGUUUAGUUUUGGAUACAUAAAGCUUGACUUCCUUGUGAAUCACACCAGCUUCCCUUCUUUCUAACAAUAUGACCUUGAAAAAGUUCCUUUAAUUCAGUUAUUCAUAAGUGAAGGAGAAAAAGAAAGUUGUUGUGAAGAUCAAAUUAGGAUAAUAUAGUCAAUAAAUGUUACCUGGAAUGUAAUCUCCAUGAGGUCAGGAAUCACACCUUAAUGGGUUACAAUUACCUAAGUACUCGAAUAUUCAUAGAAUUAACAAACUCAGGUGGAAAUAUGCAGCUUGAGUAGAUAUGUGGGAAAGGUGCUUAGGAUAAAGGUCUGAAUUUGUUAUAUAGAUUUGGACAUCGUGAUCCUACGAUUUCCCUCUCACCCAGGCAAAGAAAGGAAGAAAGGUAAGAAUAAGGCUCUAGCAUCUCCUCUCUGGAGAUGACAUACACACAUCAUAUGCAUAUGGGCAUGGAGGAAGGGGUGUGGGGAGAGGUGAGUUUAGUGAGUAUACAAGUUAGAAGUCAGGAGUGGAUGGUAUCAGAGGAUUCUCAGAAUGCAGAGAAGAAGAGAGAGUUUGUAAUAGGACACAUGUGGUAGGCCCUUAAAGAAGCCCUAAAUACAGAGUAAAGAUUAGACUGGGAAUUAUUUUCCUUCCUCAUUGAAGAAUGAGUCCAUGUAUGGAAUCUCCCCUUGGAAGCUAUCCCCCUGGAGCUUGUAGGGUACAUAGGUGCCAAAAGUGAUCGUUGGUUCCUUGCUCCAAGCUUUGUUUUCUUUUCUUUCUUGUUUUCUUCCUUUGCAGUCGUUGUUGUUGUUUUUUUCUUUUCUUUUUUUUUUUUUGAGACAGAGACCUGUUCUGUCUCCCAGGCUGCAGUGCAAUGGCAUGAUCUCAGCUCACUGCAACCUCCGCCUCCUGGGUUUAGGCCAUUCUUCUGCCUCAGCCCCCAGAGUAGCUGGGAUUAUAGGUGCCUGCCACCACAGCCGGCUAAUUUUUUUUUUUUUUUGUAUUUUUUAGUAAAGAUGGAGUUUUGCCAUGUUGGCCAGACUUGAUAUAUCUCUUGAUCUCUCUCCUAUCUAGAAAGACUCUGGGAAAAUUAAGUUCACUUCUAAACAGUUAGUAUUUUUAAUUCUUUUUAAAGUGCCCUGUUUCAAAUCUGCCAAAAUCUAGACAGGUCUCUCCCUGAAAUCAAUACUUUGAUUCAACUAAACACAAUGAACAAAACACUUCAGAGCAACAACAGGAAAAAAUAAACUGAUAAUAGGGUAUCAUUUAUUCCAUGUGCAAACUCAGUCUACGUCCCAGUAUUAUCUAUACAGCCUUCUGUUUUCUGCCUGAGGAAGGGAAAUUUCAGUUUUGCCAGUUGGUCCUGUGCUCUGAUCAACAGUUAUUUGCUUGAUGAUAAUAAUCAGACAAAAGGCAAAAAGGGACCAAACCAAGGUGCAACAAGUGGGAAAGUGGUAUUCUAAACCUAUUCCAUUUUUCUGAGGAAAAGUUUAGGCCUCCACCUACCUCUCAAUCCAUUGGCUUACAUUUUUGCAAGUUCUCAUUUUGCGUCAUUUGUGACUAUUUCUCUUUAAUCUAAUGGGGAAAACCCAGUGGGCAGGCCACCUGGAUCUCUAUACAAAUAAAUUGUAAAUAUUAAAUUGCAUGUGUUAUUUAUUCUCUCUCAUAAAAAAUCAUGUAACUGUCGCAUGGAAAAGUUUGCAGUUAACUUUGAAAUAUCUUACUUAUAUAUCUUACUUGUUUAUAAUGUUAGUAACUUCUGUUUCCAUAUAAAAAGGAAAAUAAUUUUGUGAAUAGUAUCAUGGAAUUUCAACACUUUUGGAGAGAAAGUGAAUAUUCUGUCUCAGUAUUUGAAGACCUCUCCUAAACAUCUCUUUUCUUAAAAAAAAAAAAUUGUUUAGAGACAAGGUCUUGCUCUGUCACCUGGUCUAUAAUGCAGUGAUGUGAUCAUUGUUCACGGUAACCUUGAACUCCUGGGUUCAAGCGGAUCUUCCUGGCUCAGCCUCCAGAAUAACCAGGACUGCAGGUGCGUUCCACGAUUCUGGGCCAUAUUUUACUUUUUUUCUUUCUUUUUUUUUUUUUUUUUUUUUUAAGAGAUGGGGGGGUCUCAUUAUGUCACUCAAGGUGGUCUCUAACCCCUAGCCUCAAGUGAUCCUCCUGCCUCAGCCUCCCAAAACAUUGGGAUUACACACAUGAGGCACCAUGCCCAGCCAAAUGUCCCUUUUCUUCUUUGGCCUUUGGUCUUUCUCCAAAUUGUCAUUUUUGCAAGAAAUGUAAACCUUGAAUUUUUAAGUGAUUCUGAAUUCGGCCACUGGGAUUGAGUUUGAAGAUUUCUGUCCAUCAGAACUCUGCUCCUUCUCAUCCCAAAUGCUCCUGCUAUUUCCCCUGCUUUUCUUCUUUCCCUCACUUCCUUUUUAGACUCAGCACAUGGUGGUUGUUGAAGUCCAAUGAGCAUAUUAGUUAGCCACAGGAAAAUGUGCAGAAGACAGCAGAGGAAAAACUGGUGUCAUAGCAUUUAUGAAGAAUAAGAGUUUACUAACGGAGAUGAAGAAGAAAAAAAUUUAACAGUGAGAGAAAAAUAAAACUGGAAAGAAUGUCAGUUAGUGAAAGAGAUCAUUAGAGAAGUGGUGAAAGUUAAGAUUUGUGAGGUAGAUGGUAUCAGAUCUUGGAUGCCCAUUACUGUCAGGCUGAGGUGUUUGGCAUUAACUGUGUAGAUCAUAGAUUCCAACUGAACUUUUUUGAGCAGGAAGUGAGUAGAUGAAAAAGAAGAACAAAGCUUUGUUUUAGAGAAGUGGAUCUGGAAUAUAUUUAUAUCAUGGAUUCUAUGCAUGUAGCCUUUGUCAUACAGCUGUAACUUAUGUUUAAAAGUCUCAAUUGGGUGUGUGUGUGUGUGUAAGUUAACUUUAAUCUGUAUUUUAAUGGCUGUUGCUUAAUUUGAAUAACUUUAAUUAGGAAUACAUACUUCAGAGAUGAUUGGUUAGUUUAGCCAGAUUUAGCCAAAUGCCAUAUUUCACUCAAAUGUGUUCCAUGAUCUUUAGUUCUUGUGAGUUUAACUAAUACAGGAGAUGUUAGAAAUGAUUUUUCAUUGGUGAUGUUAUUCAAAGUAUCUUGAUUUGGUUAGCAUGUUGGACCUUUCAGAGUAACAUCCUAGGCCCAAAACUCUUGAAUCAGCCCUUCAUUCAGACAUGGAAUAAAUAAUUAUGUAACUAUAUUCGAACCAGAUGAACAGCUGAGUUCUUCUACUAGAAGACUGUCAUUUAUGCCUUGAGACGCAAGAUUCUCACUAGAAUCCCCAAAAUGAUAACAAAUUGGACUCUACUGAACUUGUAAGAAAAGGUGAUAUGACUGUUUUUGUCACUGUUUCCUAAUAAAUAUUUGCAUGUGUAUUAGUAUUCUGAAAUUCAUAUUUAUCUUAUUUACUAUCUGGUAGUGGCAUUGUAAGAAACAAAAAACUUAAUGGCUUUCACCUAACUAGUUAUUGGAGGCUAAUGGUAUUUAUUAAACAAAUAAAAAACUAGUAAUUGUGAAUGUCAAAACUGGUUUGGGCCAGCAUACAAUAGACUGAAGAUAUAAAACAAAUUUUCAAAACACAUUAAUAGUGUCUCUGUGAAGUAGAUGGUCUGGACUAGGUUAUAUGCGAGAAUAUAAAUAUUUGACAAAGGUCGAACUCAAAGUCAUAUGAACUUUAGGCAAAAUAACUUUUCUCUGAGAUGUAAUUAAACUUUUCUAUUUAAAAAAUGAAUUUAAUCCAAGAACAUCAAACAAGAACAUUAUUAUAAAAUGUAAAACAUACAUGUUUUAAAGUACUAUUUAGUAACUUUAAUUAAACUAAUAAAAAUUAGAAAGGAAGUAGAACUUCAA
rnacentral:lncRNA from 1 species